rnacentral:lncRNA from 1 species
AUUCCUGGUACCCUGCCCCAACACGCUCCCCCUCAAAAAAAAAGAAUCCACAAGCAUGGCCACUAUUGUUUUUAAUUUGGAGUAUGAUAUCACAUGAGAUAUUAAAAGAAACUAAGUAAAAAGAGCAUGUGUAUUUUCUCACAGAGAUUAGUUAAGAAUUCUUGUAUUUGGAAAUAGCCUGUACAUGUUAGGAUAUUCAUCUGGCUUGUCUCCAUUCUGUUUGUGUGAAUGCACAAGUACAUUUAUAGGAGACAUAUUUAAUCAUUUAUAUGUUUGCAAUUAUUAUUUAUUUUACAUGUUUGCCUAUAUUAUACUAUGAGUUAAUAACAUGAUGUAACAAAAGUAAUCUCAUUAUUCUUAAAUAACAAGCUCUAAUGAUAUGAAUAGUAGAAAAUGGAGGAGGUUCUGAGCUAGAGGAAACUACAGUAAAGCAGGCUCAGCAAGCAAAAAGGAGCCACAAAUCACUUACCACAUACCCGGAAGGACUUCCAUUUCUAAUAAUCUUGCAUUCCAAGAUAAACCGUGAAUAAUAGGAACCUGCUAAGGGCCUUGACUAACAGGAAAUCCUAAAACUUUUGCCUCCAGAGAUAAGCCACGAAAACAGGAACAUCCUGUUUUUCUUACUUACCAAAAGACAGGAAGAUCUUGUUUGUUUUUCUAUUUUUUUUUUUGUACCAAGGAUUGAACUCAGGGACACUAGAUCACUGAGCCACAUCCCCAGUCCUAUUUUGUAUUUUAUUUAGAGACAGGGUCUCACUGAGUUGCUUAAUACCUCAUUUUUGGUGAGGCUGGCUUUGAACUUGUGAUCCUCCUGCCUCAGCCUCCCAAGCCAUUGGGAUUACAGGCAUAAGCCACUGUGCCCGACAACAACUUGUUCUUAUCCGAUUGAUUGGUUGAUUUUAUACUUAGUUUUUCUUUAUUCAACAACAGAAAUGGGGCUAUGCACACAAUUACACUUUCAUGAAAUGUCAUACUCUAAGUUCUGUAUAAAACUAAUUUUAAACAAGACAGAAACAAGUUUUUUCUUUUAUUUAUUUUUGAGUUACAGGUGGACACAAUAUCUUUAUUUUAUUUUUAUGUGGUGCUGAGGAUCAAACCCAGUGCCUCACGCAUACUAGGCAAGUGCUCUACAUCUGAGCCACAACCCCAGCCCCAGAAGCAAGUUUUUAAUAUACCCUUAAAUUAUAAGUCUAAGGCUUGUUAAUACAGUGAAACUACAACGUUCUUGUUCAUAUCAUUUUAAAAGAUACUGCAAUGAUUUAAUAACUGCUAUUCUACGUAAAUUUCCGUCCUCCAAAAAUAAAUUCCUUGAGGUUUGGAAAAUUUGAAAAUACACAGCUUCAUGUAAUCAACAGAACUUAUUAAAAACUAAUUUUUGAUAUAAUAGUAAGAUAGCAAAUUAAUUCAGAAAAAUAGAAUUUCAUAAAUCUAGAGUUGUAUUCAUCCUAAAUUUCUUAUAAAGUUCAUGUUAUCAACAUUCAAAAUGUGUAAGCAAUAAUGUCAUAAUUUCCCAAACAAAAUGGAAGCUUUCUUCAGCCCACACAUGUUUUUAUAAUCAGAAAUAUCUAAAACAGUUUUUACAAUUACAUUUUCAUAAUUAGAGUGACAAUGCUUAGAAGUUCUCUACCACAUGUAAACAUUAAGCAAUAGCUUUCCUACAAUAACCUCAUUUUAACUAAAUAUUUAGAUAAAAUUUUAAAAAUGGAUUGUUAUUAUCCUUGUAUUAUUUUUUAAGCACAGAUACACACAAAACUUUGCUUACAAGAUAGUUCUAUAUAGAAUAAAUUGUUAGUGAAAUUUGUAUUAAAAACUAUGUAUAAUUAAAUGUAGUUCACAGGGUACAUCAUUAUGCUUCUCACAAGAGAGGACAAUUAUAGAUGAGAUUAUCUAGAAGAAAGUAUAAUAUGAACAUAACCAUUCAUACAUAAAAUUCGGGGAGGUCUCUCUGAAGUUUAUGCAGGUGACUUACUUGUAAUUGUACAGUGUGAACUUGUAGAGGAAAAAAAUAAUACAGUAACCCUUGAGUCCCACACAUACAAAUUAAGACUGUAUUCUUCAGGCUGUCUCAAUAGCACUGGAUUUGGCCAUUUCCUGUUUAAAAAGAUGGUAGCCCUUGAUAAGACUAUUGGAUAUUACCAUCUAAAUGUACUUUCUUAAACAUACAGCAUUUGUGAAUGUGAUCCCUCUUCAUCCAUUUUGGUAUAUACAUUUCAUCUCUUUUCGUUGAUGGUAAGACUAAUUGAAAUAAUUCUGUAACUAUAAAAUUAAACCAUUUGGUAGCUUUUUCAAAUUGAAGUCAUAUAGUUUCUCUCUAAAAAGAACUGAUAAAGCACCAUGUAAAUAAAAAACCGCCACCAAGAUAUUUGAUGCUUUCAUCUAAACCUUGAACAGGAUAAACCCUCUUGAAAGACAAAAAUUCUGUCUUCAUACUAGUUCCAUCCAAAGAAAAAUGGGGAAAAAAAAAGGUUACUUCCGAUUAUAGACAAUGAAUAAUUAUAAAAAUAAAAUAAUUAUAAAAAAUUUUCUCCAUCUCAUGACUUAAAAGUUGUAACAUGAAUAAGUGCAAUAAAAGUCUGUGGUGUGAACACAGUGUUUCCAGAACACAAUAUUUAGAAAAAUUAGCACAUCAGUCCUUAUGGAAGAUAUUUAAAAAUGGAAAACAUCUGCACCCUUCCUUAAUAUUGAAGGUUAGCUUCUUGAAAACAUUUAUAUAUGUGUAGUCUUAAAAGACAUUCUGACAGUCUUUAAUCUUAUCAUACCUUAUUAUAUGUAAUUAAGAUGUGCUAUCAAAUCCCAAUAUAGCAGAAUGUGUAUUAGAAAGUGAGGCAUGGUUCUAAAUUAUAAAUUGGCUCCUCAAACUCUGAUUUUUAUAAAAUUACUAGAAAACAAUAAUGUCAUUUGCAGAUGUAGGAUGGAUAUGAGUUGGAAGAAACUGGGAAGAUUUAAAUCUCUGAAGGAACUCUGAUUAAAAUUGACAACCCUCACCUCUGGGACCAAAGCAACUAUUCUGAAAUGGCAAUAACUUCCUUUUCUUAAAUGAAACCAUGGUUGACAAAUGUGAACAUCUUAAAAUGAGGAACUUAAAAAAAUAUUAUCUCCCAUUAUUAAUGACUGGGUCCAGAAAUUGCUUUUUUCCAAGCACUUAUUCAUUAAUAUAUAAUGUUAAUUUGUACAAUAUAUGUAACAUUAUUUUUUAAAAGUUUUUUAUAAAAUUGAUGUCUUUAAUAUUUUAUUAAAGAUAAAUGAACAGUUGAAAGCAAAAAAAAAUUAAUGGCACAUGGAUUUAAAACUAUUUAAAAAGUGAAAGAAGUGGUGUAUAUAAGUUUUAUCCAAAAGUAACAUACAUGUCAACCUAUUAAUGAAGUGGAUUCUAGCAAAAGCUACAGCUCAAAUUCAGUUUAUUUGGAAGGUAGGAUUAUGCAAAUUAAGUACAAAUAGAAUCUGACUUACUAUCCUGGUAAAGCUAGGAAAAGAAAUGAAGUUUAAUUUGCCAUAAUAUUCACUGUGAUCUCCAAGGCUACCUAAAUGGCUAUUUCACAAACUAGAAUUUGAAUCUGAAACCAGCUGUAGAACUGUAAUAGAAAUAAGACUAAACUCCAGUGUCUACAAUCAAUUUUAUUUCAAUAUAAUCUUGUUAAGGCACUAUUUCCAAAUUCCCAAAUAAAACUCCGGGUCUGUUUGAAGCGAAGACAAAGGCUUUAUUGCCAGCCAGGGUCAAGAGCACAGAGACCAAGCAGUUCUGCAACCCUCAACCUUGAUUGGGGAUAAGACCAAGCUUAUAAGUCUUACAACCACAAAGAAGCGGGAGGCAGGAGAAAUAAUAUUUACAAUAUACAUUUCAUACAAGUGGAAAAGUACCAGGCUAUGAAAAAAAAUCAUACUCUCAGAAAUUACAUUUUCAGAGAAAAAUUUGCAUUAGUUCCAUAGAGCAAAGAUAUUGUGGUCAGGGUGCAAGCAAGUAGGUGGGGGUGGAGGUGUUAUCCUUCAAUGCCAGUGGGCUCAUGUGGAAAGGGGCCAGUUUCACACAGGGUGAAUGAGGUGUCUGAACAAAAUGGGGUAAGUCUGAGCUAAUUUUCAAAUCAGUCCAUAACAAUCUAAACACAUGCCAUUUAGAAAAUACCAAGAAAAAUGUAUAUACCGUUGUGGUGCGAACUGAUCAACAUAAUCAAUAAGUUACUAAUACUGGUUGUAAAAGCAAUUGCUAUGGUAAAAUUACCUGAUCAGCAAGAAUGGAGUCACUAUGGCUAUAGGAGCAAACAGGUAGGCCAUAGGGACCCGGUGUCAGCUAUUCUAGACUCCACCUUAGUUUUUCUGUUAUUGCUUCUGUGAAGAGACAGUUGCAGGACUCAUUUCUGAGAAAACAAAAUGAAAGCUGUUUUCUGCUAAAUUCAAAAAAAAAAUAUUGUUUUCUGUACUUUGUAUCCCACAAAAUGUACUCAACCCAGAAUAUGGAAGUCUUGGUAACCCAUAUAACUUUGAAGUCCCCCCAACCAACUGCUUGACAGUUGUCUAGCACCUGCUUGAACCCAAGAUGCAGUUCAUUAGGUUGUUCUGCUAACAGCUUUUUUGCUUCUGUAACUUGCUUGCUUGCUAACUGAAAAAUUUCAAAGGAUGUGGUUUUCCUCCUUAAAUAGCAGAUUUCCCUCAGAGGAGGGUGAAGUCUUUCAGAGAGCCACUUGGACUCUGUUAGACUCAGCCCCUGACCAGGUAUAAUUGGCAAAAUAGGUAAAAUAAAAAUCCUUCAAAUUAUUUCAAAUUCAGACUUGGUGUGUUUUCUGAGUGGUCUUCCCAGGACAGUACGAGAGUUGAUGCUAUUGCAUUUGGAUAAAGCUGGCGAGUUCUUGCUACUUAGCACAGCCCAGGAAACACCACCACCAAGGAAACCGAAUAUAUUGGAAUAGAUGUUGUGGCAUUUGGCCCACAGAGCUCUCAGAUUUAACCUGAAGUUGUCAAUGUUUGGUACUAGGUGUAAAAUUUCAUCUCUUACUGUGCAACCAUUAAGACUUCUUAUGCAUCGUACAUCUAAAUUUUUAAGCAGAUCGUCAUCUUGUAUAGGUCCAAAUCUUCUGCAAUAACAAAAUAUCAACCUCUAUCCCAGAGUUUGAUAACUAAUACAAACGCCUCUUCAACAGCUCUUAAAUCUUUAACUUUUUCUUAUAAUUUCAAUUUAUAGAACAAAAUGAAAAAGUCACUGCGAUCAACAUAUCUUGGUGCAACACACAAUGCAUCAAUAUCCGCACCUUUUGUAUGUAUUCCUAAUCUGUAACGUAGAUUCAAAUCUAAAAAAUCUUCCUCCAACAUUUUCAGUUACAGAUUGUGGAAGAUUCUUGCCUUCACUGAUUUCUCCUAUCCACUCUUUCACCGAGUUAUUUAAUUUUUCUAAAAUUAAAGUCCGCACUGCAGCUCCUCUUCCUUUUCAAAAACCCAAAAGGGCUUCAGAGUCUCAAUUAGUUUCUGUGUAAGAAUGUAGUCAGUCUUAUUGGGGGCUGCUAAGCUGAUAGGAGAAGUAAUGUCACAAUGCUUCUGUGGCUGGAAAGGGCAAGUCUCCUGCUCUGGCACGGCCCAGUAACUCCCCCCACCCCAAUCCCCACUGCCCGGCUGGGCAGGCUCCACCGAGGCCAGAGGGAUGGAGGGGGCUGGGUCCAAUCGCACUCUGAUGCUUUAAGCACUUCUCCUCCUUUCCCUUUGUCCGAACAUGGCGCCCCUCUUAUCCCAUUUACAUUGUUAACUGACAUAGCUGAGCUAUAAAUUCCUCAUUUCAUUUUAAU